ensembl:lncRNA
UCAUCAUCGUAUGGAUUGUAAUGCGUAAGUGAUAUCCUGGCCGUUACCGGGUCUGAAGGGGAUAAGGGAGUGUUUUCUUUCCAGUUGUGUUGGUCACGGUAGCACGCAGUUCAUUACUUCCUCUCCUCCAACACCUCAUUUAGGUCACGGAGGACUUGAUAUUUAGGUCUAACUAAUGAGCUGAGUCAGAUAUGAGAUAUGUAGAAGGGUGAUGGUGUGAGUCACACUGUUCCAAAACAAAGCGAAGGCUUCAGGUCACGAUAAGCAGUCGGUUGCAGCAGUUCAGCUUCUGAUUGAUCGUAGCCUGGUGAGAGCGUGAAUUCCCGCUGCUGUUUGAGUUUAUCUAGCGCUGACAUUUGAAACUGGAGCACUUAGCGACGUUGAACACAGCUUUGAGUUAUAAUUACGUUGAUGGGUUGUUUUUUUUUUUUUUUUGUUUUGUUUUUUUUGUUAUUGCUUUGGUUGAGCUUAAAUUACAACCCCAAGUCCAAAAAACGUUGGGACGCCGGGUAAAAUGUAAAUAAAAACACAGUGCAAAUCUCAUUAACCCGUAAUGUUAUUCACAAUAGAACAUAGAAAACAUAUCGAAUGUUUAAAUUGUACUGUUUUAAGGAAAAAAUAAGGUCAUUUUGAAUUGGAUGGCCGCAACACACCUCGAAACCGUCGGGACGGGGGCAACAAAAGGCUGGAAAAGAAAGUGUUAAUAAAAAGAAACAGCUGGAGGGACAUUUUGUAGCUAAUUAGGUUAAUUGGGAACAGGUCAGUAAGACGAUUAGGUAUAAUAUGCGUAUCGUAGAUUAUAGUAUAAUAUAGCAUAGUAUGGUGUAAUAUGGUAUAGUAUAGUAUGGUAUAAUAUGGUAUAGUAUGGUAUAAUAUGGCAUAGUAUUGUAUGGUAUAAUAUAGUUUAGUAUGGUAUAGUAUGGUAUAGUCUAGUAUGGUAUAAUAUGGUAUGGUAUAAUAUGGUAUAGUAUAUUGUAGUAUGGUAUAGUAUAGUAUGAUAUAGUGUAGUAUGGUAUGGUAUAGUGUAGUAUGGUAUAAUAUAGUAUGGUAUAAUAUGGUAUAUGGUAUAGUAUAGUGUAGUAUAGUAUGGUAUAGUAUGGUAUAGUGUAGUAUGGUAUGGUAUAAUAUAGUAUAGUAUGGUAUGGUAUAGUGUAGUAUGUUAUAGUAUGGUAUAUAUUGUAUAAUAUGGUAUAUGGUAUAGUAUAGUGUAGUAUAGUAUGGUAUAGUAUGGUAUAGUGUAGUAUGGUAUGGUAUAAUAUAGUAUAGUGUAGUAUAGUAUAGUGUAAUAUAGUGUGGUGUAGUGUAGUAUAGUAUAGUGUAGUAUAGUGUACUAUAGUAUUGUGUAGUGUAGUAUAGUGUAGUGUAGUAUAGUGUAGUGUAGUAUAGUGUAGUUCUGAUAUGAAUAAUUUAUGGUCACUCUGUAUUUAACUUUCUCUUGGAUAUUGGGUUGUGUUAUUGAUUGGCUGCUGAAUACAGUAGUAUAGUGUAGUAUAGUGUAAUAUAGUGUAGUUGUGAAGUUGAAAUAUUACACAUUUGAAUGUCAUACCUUGAAAUUUAUUUUUGAUGUUGGAUUGUGUUACUGAUUUGCUG